GAUGAAGAACGCAGCGAAAUGCGAUAAGUAAUGUGAAUUGCAGAAUUCAGUGAAUCAUCGAAUCUUUGAACGCACAUUGCGCCCGCCAGUAUUCUGGCGGGCAUGCCUGUUCGAGCGUCAUUUCAACCAUCAAGCCCCGGGCUUGUGUUGGGGACCUGCGGCUGCCGCAGGCCCUGAAAUGCAGUGGCGGGCUCGCUGUCACUCCGAGCGUAGUAGUUACAUCUCGCUCUGGGCGUGCUGCGGGUUCCGGCCGUUAAAAGCCUUAUUUACCCAAGGAUGACCUCGGAUCAGGUAGGAAGACCCGCUGAACUUAAGCAUAUCAAUAAGCGGAGGA
rnacentral:misc_RNA from 1 species